UACGGGGGGGGCGAGCGUUGUUCGGAAUUACUGGGCGUAAAGGGUUUGUAGGUGGUCUGCUAAGUCAGACGUGAAAUCCCUCAGCUUAACUGGGGAACUGCGUCUGAUACUGGCGGACUUGAGGACAGGAGAGGAACGCGGAAUUCCGGGUGUAGUGGUGAAAUGCGUAGAGAUCCGGAGGAACCCCAGAGGCGAAGGCGGCGUCCUGGCUCGCAUCUGACGCUCAGACACGACAGCAUGGGGAGCGAACGGG
rnacentral:rRNA from 1 species